CCUACGGGCGGCAGCAAUGAGGAAUAUUGGUCAAUGGGCGCAAGCCUGAACCAGCCAAGCCGCGUGAAGGAUGACUGCCCUACGGGUUGUAAACUUCUUUUAUAAAGGGAUAAAGUGAGGCACGUGUGCCUUUCUGUAUGUACUUUAUGAAUAAGGAUCGGCUAACUCCGUGCCAGCAGCCGCGGUAAUACGGAGGAUCCGAGCGUUAUCCGGAUUUAUUGGGUUUAAAGGGAGCGUAGAUGGGUUGUUAAGUCAGUUGUGAAAGUUUGCGGCUCAACCGUAAAAUUGCAAUUGAUACUGGCAGCCUUGAGUACAGUAGAGGUAGGCGGAAUGCGUGGUGUAGCGGUGAAAUGCUUAGAUAUCACGAAGAACUCCGAUUGCGAAGGCAGCUUACUAAACUGCCACUGACAUUGAUGCUCGAAAGUGUGGGUAUCAAACAGGAUUAGAUACCCUAGUAGUC
rnacentral:rRNA from 1 species